rnacentral:rRNA from 1 species
UACAGAGGGGGCAAGCGUUAUUCGGAAUUAUUGGGCGUAAAGUGUGCGCAGGCGGCCGAGCAAGUCGAGUGUGAAAGCCCCGAGCUUAACUUGGGAACUGCGCUCGAAACUACUUGGCUAGAGUGUGGCAGAGGGGAGGUGGAAUUCCACGUGUAGCGGUGAAAUGCGUAGAGAUGUGGAGGAACACCGAUGGCGAAGGCAGCCUCCUGGGCCAACACUGACGCUCAUGCACGAAAGCGUGGGGAGCAAACAGG